rnacentral:rRNA from 1 species
UACGAAGGGGGCUAGCGUUGCUCGGAAUCACUGGGCGUAAAGCGCACGUAGGCGGAUCUUUAAGUCAGGGGUGAAAUCCCAAGGCUCAACCUUGGAACUGCCUUUGAUACUGGGGAUCUCGAGUCCGGAAGAGGUUGGUGGAACUGCGAGUGUAGAGGUGAAAUUCGUAGAUAUUCGCAAGAACACCAGUGGCGAAGGCGGCCAACUGGUCCGGUACUGACGCUGAGGUGCGAAAGCGUGGGGAGCAAACAG